UUCCGGUUGAUCCUGCCGGACCUGACUGCUAUCGGAUUGAUACUAAGCCAUGCGAGUCAUUGUAGCAAUACAAGGCAGACGGCUCAGUAACGCGUAGUCAACCUACCCUAUGGACGGGGAUAACCUCGGGAAACUGAGAAUAAUACCCGGUAGAACAUUAUGCCUGGAAUGGUUUAUGUUUCAAAUAAUUUAUUGCCGUAGGAUGGGACUGCGGCCUAUCAGUUUGUUGGUGAGGUAAUGGCCCACCAAGACUAUUACAGGUACGGGCUCUGAGAGGAGUAGCCCGGAGAUGGGUACUGAGACACGGACCCAGGCCCUAUGGGGCGCAGCAGGCGAGAAAACUUUGCAAUGUGCGAAAGCACGACAAGGUUAAUCCGAGUGAUUUCUGCUAAAGGAAUCUUUUGUCAGUCCUAGAAACACUGUUGAAUAAGGGGUGGGCAAGUUCUGGUGUCAGCCGCCGCGGUAAAACCAGCACCUCAAGUGGUCAGGAUGAUUAUUGGGCCUAAAGCAUCCGUAGCCUGCUUUAUCAGUUUUCGGUUAAAUCCACACGCUCAACGUAUGGGCUGCCGGGAAUACUGUAAAGCUAGGGAGUGGGAGAGGUAGACGGUACUCGGGAGGAAGGGGUAAAAUCCUUUGAUCUCUCGAUGACCACCUGUGGCGAAGGCGGUCUACCAGAACACGUCCGACGGUGAGGGAUGAAAGCUGGGGGAGCAAACCGGAUUAGAUACCCGGGUAGUCCCAGCUGUAAACUAUGCAAACUCAGUGAUGCAUUGGGCUUGAUGCCAAUGCAGUGUUGCAGGGAAGCCGUUAAGUUUGCCGCCUGGGAAGUACGUACGCAAGUAUGAAACUUAAAGGGAUUGGCGGGGGGGAGCACCACAAGGGGUGAAGCCUGCGUUCAUGAAUCACGCGGA
rnacentral:rRNA from 1 species